UAGGGAAUCUUCGGCAAUGGACGGAAGUCUGACCGAGCAACGCCGCGGGAGUGAAGAAGGUUUUCGGAUCGUAAAGCUCUGUUGUUAGAGAAGAACGUUGGUAGGAGUGGAAAAUCUACCAAGUGACGGUAACUAACCAGAAAGGGACGGCUAACUACGUGCCAGCAGCCGCGGUAAUACGUAGGUCCCGAGCGUUGUCCGGAUUUAUUGGGCGUAAAGCGAGCGCAGGCGGUUCUUUAAGUCUGAAGUUAAAGGCAGUGGCUUAACCAUUGUACGCUUUGGAAACUGGAGGACAUGAGUGCAGAAGGGGAGAGUGGAAUUCCAUGUGUAGCGGUGAAAUGCGUAGAUAUAUGGAGGAACACCGGUGGCGAAAGCGGCUCUCUGGUCUGUAACUGACGCUGAGGCUCGAAAGCGUGGGGAGCAAACAGG
rnacentral:rRNA from 1 species